AGACUGGGGAAUGUUUCGGUGUACAAGAGAUGAAAUAGGGAUGGAGUGCCCCCCACGUUCUUUCUGCAAGUGCCUAUUUGUGAGUGUGUGUAUCUGGGAUUUUCAGUGCUUUACCGGGGCUCUUGUGCAGAGUGCACGGUGAAGGCUGCGAGGGUCUCACUCUGUUACCCAGGCUGGAGUGGUGCAAUGGCACAAUCUCAGCUCACUGCAACCCCUGCCACUGCAACCCUUGCCUCCAGGUUCAAGUGCUUCUCUUGCCUCAGCCUUCCAAGUAGCUGGGAUUACAGGCACCUGCCACCACACCUGGCUGAUUUUUGUAUUUUUAACAGAGACGGGGUUUCACCAUGUUGGCCAAGCUGGUCUCAAACUCCUGACCUCAAGUGAUCUGCCUGCCUCAGCCUCCCAAAAUGCUGGGAUUACAGGUGUAAGCCACCAUGCCCAGCCAGGUUGCUUCCGGUUUUUCAAUAUUCCAAACAGUGUAUCAGUGAAUAAAAUCCUUGCACAUAUGCA
rnacentral:lncRNA from 1 species